UGGGGAAUAUUGCACAAUGGGCGAAAGCCUGAUGCAGCGACGCCGCGUGAGGGAUGACGGCCUUCGGGUUGUAAACCUCUUUCAGUAGGGACGAAGCGCAAGUGACGGUACCUGCAGAAGAAGCACCGGCUAACUACGUGCCAGCAGCCGCGGUAAUACGUAGGGUGCGAGCGUUGUCCGGAAUUACUGGGCGUAAAGAGCUCGUAGGCGGUUUGUCACGUCGUCUGUGAAAUCCUAGGGCUUAACCCUGGACGUGCAGGCGAUACGGGCUGACUUGAGUACUACAGGUGAGACUUGAUUUUCUGGUGUAGCGGUAGAAUGCACAGAUAUCAGGAAGACCCCCGAUGUCGAAGGCAUGUCUCUGUGUAGUAACUGAAGCUGAGGAUCGAAAGCAUGGGUAGCGAACAGU
rnacentral:rRNA from 1 species